UACGGGGGGAGCAAGCGUUGUUCGGAUUUACUGGGCGUAAAGGGCGCGUAGGCGGCCACCGCAAGUCGACUGUGAAAUCUCCGGGCUUAACCCGGAAAGGUCAACCGAUACUGCAGGGCUAGAGUGCAGAAGGGGCAACUGGAAUUCUCGGUGUAGCGGUGAAAUGCGUAGAUAUCGAGAGGAACACCUGCGGCGAAGGCGGGUUGCUGGGCUGACACUGACGCUGAUGCGCGAAAGCUAGGGGAGCGAACGGG
rnacentral:rRNA from 1 species